GAUGAAGAACGUAGCGAAAUGCGAUAAGUAAUGUGAAUUGCAGAAUUCAGUGAAUCAUCGAAUCUUUGAACGCACAUUGCGCCCGCCAGUAUUCUGGCGGGCAUGCCUGUCUGAGCGUCAUUUCAACCCUCAUGCCCCUAGGGCGUGGUGUUGGGGAUCGGCCAAAGCCCGCGAGGGACGGCCGGCCCCUAAAUUUAGUGGCGGACCCGUCGUGGCCUCCUCUGCGAAGUAGUGAUAUUCCGCAUCGGAGAGCGACGAGCCCCUGCCGUUAAACCCCCAACUUUCCAAGGUUGACCUCAGAUCAGGUAGGAAUACCCGCUGAACUUAAGCAUAUCAAUAAGCGGAGGA
rnacentral:misc_RNA from 1 species